rnacentral:rRNA from 1 species
UACGUAGGGUGCGAGCGUUAAUCGGAAUUACUGGGCGUAAAGCGUGCGCAGGCGGCUUUGCAAGACAGAUGUGAAAUCCCCGGGCUCAACCUGGGAACUGCAUUUGUGACUGCAAGGCUAGAGUACGGCAGAGGGGGAUGGAAUUCCGCGUGUAGCAGUGAAAUGCGUAGAUAUGCGGAGGAACACCAAUGGCGAAGGCAAUCCCCUGGGCCUGUACUGACGCUCAUGCAC